rnacentral:tRNA from 1 species
GUGGUUGUGGCUCAGUGGUAGAGUGCUUGCCUAGCACAUGUGAGGCCCUGGGUUCGAUCCUCAGCACCACA